AGGACGAACGCUGGCGGCGCGCUUAACACAUGCAAGUCGAGCGAGAUCCGGUCCUUCGGGACUGGGGAAAGCGGCGAACGGGUGAGUAACACGUGGGUAAUCAACCCUCGGUACCGGGAUAGCCCGAGGAAACUCGGAUUAAUACCGGAUGGCCCAGCAGCUCUUCGGGGCGGCUGGGAAAGGUAGCUUCGGCCUCCGACCGAGGACGAGCCCGCGGCGGAUUAGCUUGUUGGCGGGGUAAUGGCCCACCAAGGCGACGAUCCGUAGCUGGUCUGAGAGGACGAUCAGCCACACUGGGACUGAGACACGGCCCAGACUCCUACGGGAGGCAGCAGUGGGGAAUCUUGCACAAUGGGCGGAAGCCUGAUGCAGCGACGCCGCGUGAGGGAAGAAGGCUUUCGGGUUGUAAACCUCUUUCAGGAGGGACGAAGCUACUCGGGUUAAUAGCCCAGAGGGUGACGGUACCUCCAGAAGAACGCCCGGCUAACUACGUGCCAGCAGCCGCGGU
rnacentral:rRNA from 1 species